UACGGAGGGAGCUAGCGUUGUUCGGAAUUACUGGGCGUAAAGCGCGCGUAGGCGGCUUUGUAAGUUAGAGGUGAAAGCCCGGAGCUCAACUCCGGAACUGCCUUUAAAACUGCAUCGCUUGAAUCCAGGAGAGGUGUGUGGAAUUCCGAGUGUAGAGGUGAAAUUCGUAGAUAUUCGGAAGAACACCAGUGGCGAAGGCGGCUCACUGGACUGGUAUUGACGCUGAGGUGCGAAAGCGUGGGGAGCAAACAGG
rnacentral:rRNA from 1 species